AGGGUUUGAUCAUGGCUCAGAACGAACGCUGGCGGCACGCCUAACACAUGCAAGUCGAGCGAGCCUUCGGGCAAGCGGCGGACGGGUUAGUAACGCGUGGGAACGUACCCUUCUCUAAGGAAUAGCCUCGGGAAACUGAGAGUAAUACCUUAUACGCCCUUCGGGGGAAAGAUUUAUCGGUGAAGGAUCGGCCCGCGUCUGGUUAGAUAGUUGGUGGGGUAAUGGCCUACCAAGUCUACGAUCAGUAGCUGGUUUGAGAGGAUGAUCAGCAACACUGGGACUAAGACACGGCCCAGACUCCUACGGGAGGCAGCAGUGGGGAAUCUUAGACAAUGGGCGAAAGCCUGAUCUAGCGAUGCCGCGUGAGUGAUGAAGGUCUUAGGAUCGUAAAGCUCUUUCGCCAGGGAUGAUAAUGACAGUACCUGGUAAAGAAACCCCGGCUAACUCCGUGCCAGCCGCCGCGGUAAUAC
rnacentral:rRNA from 1 species